UGGUCUGCCUGCCUCCAGAGCCUCGGAAACAGUCCUUUGAAUCUGUCUGGUCUAUACUGGAUUCACAGGUGUUUCUGGAGGGUCAGGACAUGGGAGUGGCCAGCCUCCAGCCCCUUUUACAACAGAUCCUGAACAGUAUCGCCAGCGACUCUGCCUACAUUCCUGCCUAGCGGUUGGUUCCUGGACUGGGUAGGGUCCAAAGUUGCCCUGAAGAGUGUCCCCUUGAAAGUGAGUGGCCUCAAAAAUAAGCAGCUGUUUUCCUGAUCAUCCUUGAUAAGGACUCCGAAGGAGGCAUACCGCCAGGAUUGGCAUGAGUAAGAGGUCCCACGCGGGCCUUGUCAGCCUGUCCUUUGG
rnacentral:lncRNA from 1 species